GGAAAUCAGGGGAAAACGCUUCAUGACAUUUUGCGUCAGGUUGAUUCAAAGUCAUCUGAUGUAACGUGUGUGCGUACCGCAGUACUUCGCGGUCUUCCAGUCCUCCUGGGGGAUGACUCUGAGGAAUUUUUCAGGAUGUGCUUUGAUUCAGAUGUAGAUGCUGACUUCAGUGGAGUUGAUGUUGGCCUGCUCACAGUUUUACCUGAAGAUACGCCUGCCCAAACUCCAAAUGCUCUCAAUGUUGACUCAUCAAGGGCAAUCAUUCUGGAGGGAAGAAUCGUCGUGGAUGAUGUCCCAAACUUGCCACAUGCUGUAUGUCUCCUCUUUGCUUUAAUCUAUGCUCUUAAUUUGGACUACCCAAAGACAAUGAGGAACUCAUUUGAUUUUAUUCAGAGGGUAUUUCUGUUGUUGGGAGGUAAGAAUCUUAAGCCCAAACUCCAAACCCUUAAAAACCAGCUUUUAGCUAAACCUUAGCUAAAUGCCUCUGCUGCCUGUUAAAUAUUUUUGUUAGAUUAUUUUGUAAUUGCACUAAUUUAAGUGUGCAAAAGUUUAAACCUACACUGUAUUUCAGGCUUAUUUAGAGCACUGGUUUUGCUUUUGGUUCAGUUGUGGUUUAAAUUGAACUAUUUCUAAAGCCAAAUGUCUGUAUUUUAGGCAUUUUAUAAUUGUACUACUUUUAAUAGACAUUGGCUUCAGUUCUUCUUACAAAUAGCUUACAGUAUUAUAGUUAUAACU